rnacentral:rRNA from 1 species
UGUUGAUAGAUGCUCCUAUUAUAGUCGUAGUCUCUGAAAGAUGCGAACCAACUAUGUAGCAUCUACAUUGAGAAUUUAAGUAUUGUAUACGUUAUUAGUCUGAUCUUUUGUAGGAGCUACCCAUAAUAACGAGUUUGCAAAAUGAAUAUGUUUAUCAUAAAGAGAUUUGUUGUCCUUGACCCUACUUCACCUUAAUUGUUAUUUGAACAAGUAAAAGUUAUGUCUUGGUCCGAGUGAGGAUAGGAUUUCUCUUCUGCAUGUCUAUGGAGUUUUAAAAAAUCUAAGCAUCUCAGAGAUAGAGAGGUAGGAAUUUUUCGAACGAAUCGAACUCCUUCGUAUAUGUCAGGAAUCCAUUGAUGAGAAGGGGCUGGGGAAAGCUUGAACCCAAUUCCUACAAUGAUUAAUAUAAGCACAAUUGAAAUUCCUGAGGAGUCAUACAUUUAUGUAUUGAUAAGGCCAAGUCGUGGUAAUACAAAGGAUGCAAGCGUUAUCCGGAAUGAUUGGGCAUAAAGUGUCUAUAGGUGGCUUUUUAAGUCCGCCGUCAAAUCCCAGGGCUCAACUAUGGACAGGCGGUGGAAACUGCCAAGCUGGAGUACAGUAGGGGCAGAGGGAAUUUCCAGUGGAGCAGUGAAAUGCGUAGAGAUCGGAAAGAACACCAAUGGUGAAAGCACUCUGCUGGGCUGAUACUAACACUAAGAGAUGAAAGCUAGGGGAGCGAAUGGGAUUAGAUACCCAAUAAUCCUAGCAGUAAACGAUGGAUACUGGGCGCUGUGCGUAUCGACCUGUGCAGUGCUAUAGCUAACGUGUUAAGUAUCCCACCUAGGGAGUACGUUCGCAAGAAUGAAACUCAAAGGAAUUGAUGGGGGCCCACACAAGUGGUGGAGCAUAUGAUUUGAUUCGAUGCAAAGCGAAGAACCUUACAAGGGCUUGACAUGUCGUGAAUCAUCUUGAAAGAGAGGGAUGCCAUCGGGAACAUGGACACAGGUGGUGCAUGGCUGUCGUCAGCUCGUGCCAUAAGGUGUUGGGUUAAGUCCCGCAACGAGUGCAACCCUCGUGUUUAGUUGUCACUGUUGAGUUUGGAACCCUGAGCAGAUUGUCGGCGAUAAGCCGAAGGAAGGUGAGGAUGACGUCAAGUCAUCAUGCCCUUUAUGCCCUGGGCGACACAUGUGCUACAAUGGCCGGGACAAAGGGUCGCGAUCCCGCAAGGGUGAGCUAACUCCAAAAACCCGUCCUCAGUUUAGAUUGCAGGCUGCAACUCGCCUGUAUGAAGCCGGAAUCACUAGUAUGCUCGGGGAUGGAAAUGAGGGAAUGUCUAUAAUACCUGCAUUGAAUCAGAUACAAUUUGAAUGAUUUUAUAGGUUCAUUGAUUAGGGCUUAACAGAAGAACUUUAUAAGUUUCCAAAAAUUGAAGAUACAGAUCAAGAAAUUGAAUUUCAAUUCUUCUUUUA